rnacentral:rRNA from 1 species
CCUACGGGAGGCUGCAGUGGGGAAUAUUGGACAAUGGGGGGAACCCUGAUCCAGCCAUGCCGCGUGUGUGAAGAAGGCCCUCGGGUUGUAAAGCACUUUCAGUGAGGAAGAACGCCUGGUGGUUAAUACCCAUCAGGAAAGACAUCACUCACAGAAGAAGCACCGGCUAACUCCGUGCCAGCAGCCGCGGUAAUACGGAGGAUGCGAGCGUUAAUCGGAAUUACUGGGCGUAAAGCGCGCGUAGGUGGCUUGAUAAGCCGGUUGUGAAAGCCCCGGGCUCAACCUGGGAACGGCAUCCGGAACUGUCAAGCUAGAGUGCAGGAGAGGAAGGUAGAAUUCCCGGUGUAGCGGUGAAAUGCGUAGAGAUCGGGAGGAAUACCAGUGGCGAAGGCGGCCUUCUGGACUGACACUGACACUGAGGUGCGAAAGCGUGGGUAGCAAACAGGAUUAGAUACCCUUGUAGUC